rnacentral:lncRNA from 1 species
CGAAUUAUUCCGAAUUUUUGGCAAAAAUUCGAAAACGGGUGUUUAAUUCGGCAUUUCAAAAAUUCGCGAAUAAUUCGCGAAUAAUUCGCGAAUUAACUAACUAUGGUCUAGGCUAGCAAUAAAGAGUUAGGAUUGCCCAUCUUCGAGCAAAAAAAGUUGGUGCUGCAUGGGCUUUGCGAAUAAAAACGUUAAGGCCGUGACAAUUGGUAUCAGAGCCGAUUCGAGAAGGAACCAUAUCGUCAUCAGACGUUGCCAUCAUCGACGUUACGGC